GGCUGUGCCGCAGGCUCGGCGGCGGCGGGCAGCGGCGCUGCGGCAGGGUCCCGGCGGCCGUGCCCUACGAAGGGCCUGGGCCGGGCGCGCUGGGAAGCGGCGGGGCUGGAGCAGGCGGAGGGUGAGUGACGGCGGGGCGACGCUCAGCGCCGUCUUCAGUGGGAAGCGAAUCAGCCGUAGGUGGGAAAUUAGGGUCACAUCUCCGAUCUCCCGAGGCAGUAAAUCUGUGAGCAACUUUUUGAAGCCUGGACGGAACUGAAUCAUGUGAAAAUCAGGUACUUUUCUAUUAAAGUAGCCAGCAAUGUAAGUAUGCCAUAUACCCCCACAUUUCUUGCAAGUGCUUUCCCUAGGGACACUAUUUGACAUUUUUUUGUAUAUAUUUCACUGAUAUAUGCAAUGAAGAGCUGGACCACUUCAGUUUUCUUAAUCAAGCAAUCAAGCUGUGGUCAAUAAAAUACAUUCCUGAAGAGCAACAAUUAGCACAUAGUUUAAGAAGGCUAAUGGGGACCCAUCCCUAGCAGCCAGGGACUAGCAACCUAGUCAGCAACUGAAGAAUGCCCACUGGGAGGCCAGCAGUGACAGCAGCCAGGUGAGCCUAAGGAGCAGAUGGAAUCAGCACAAUUAGUCUUCCUGAAAUGCUAGUUUUAGCGUUUGUGAAUGAAACUUACCAGAUCUCCUAGUACAAAGUAGUGCUCGUGUAAAGCCUAUCUUUUUACGCUGUUUCCAGCAGAGAGCUGUGAGUAUUGAACUAGCCAUUCAUACAUCUUAGUGCAGUCUCAACUUCUGUGGAGUCAUUUUUGCUCUCCCGGAUGAGGAUUGGCCUUCUGCACAUCAGCCUGGAAGUACUCUCUCAUUUCAAGGGCUGCUGCCUCUGACAGCCCCGUCUGGCCUAGGACCGCGCUCCAAAAUAAUGAUGCUGUACUAACAGACAGGUUUCUCUGCUUUGCCUUAAACUGCUGACCCAUUCCCACCGUGCCCACUAAGCCAUAUCCGUUAGUACCACAUCUAAAUGUUUCUUGAACACCUCCAGGGACACUACCACUUCCCUGGGCAGCCCAUGCCAAUGCCUCACCACUCUUUCUGAGAAGAAAUGUUUCCUAAUAUCCAACCUGAACCUCCCGUUACAGUUUCAUCUGAGGAAGCUCUCUGGUAUCCCAGAUAUCUAUACAGACACUGUGCUUAGCCACCUGAUCCACAAAACUGAGGACUGCUUAACACCUGUGAAAUUUCACAGCAUGACAGCAGAGCUGAGGCUGGAAGGCACAUCUGGAGCUCCACUGGUCCAGCCCCCUGUUCAGAGCAUGGGCAGUGAGAGCACAUUGCCCAGGGCUGUGUCCACAUGGGCUUGGGGUUUCAUCAAGGUUGGAGACUCCACAGCCUUACGGGGCAACCUGUUCCAAUGUUCAGCCACCCGCAUGGGGAAAAAUGCUUUUCGUAUGUUGAAUGAAAUGUUCUGUGUUUCUGUUUGUGCCUAUUGAAUAGCACCGAGAAAAGUCCAGCUUCAUCUUCUUUACCCCUCCUAUCAGACUUUCAUACACUUCAGUAAAGCGUCCUGUGCCCUCCUCAAGCCUCCCCUUCUCAAGGUUAAGCAGCCCUAGCUCAGUCUUCCCACUCCUUACCUCCGUGGCUGAACACAUGCCUCCUCCCUGGCUUGCUGCUUGGAAAAAACACUUCAUAUACAUACAGAUAAUAGGAAGAGCAAAGCCAAGAAAACUCAUGGGUAAAGACAAAGGCAGUUUAGUAAGUGAAGGAAAAAAAAAAAACGAUGGAAGGCAAUCACUCACCACGUCCCAAGUCCCACUGACAGCCUGAUGCCCAGGCAGCCUCUCAGUGACAGCAAGCUCAGAAGCCAGCCCCUGUCCUCACGCCCCAGGCUUUAUUGCUGAGCAUGACGUUAGAAGGUAUGGGACAUACCUUUGGUCUGUCUGGGUCAGCUGUCCUGGCUGCAUCCCCUCCCAGCUCCUUGCCUACUCAGCCUGCUUGCUGAGGUAGGAGUGGGGCAGAGAGCACUGCUGAGCUGCAGCCAAAACAGUGGUGUGUUAUCAGCACUGCCCUAUCCAUAGCCCCACAGAGGCUGCUAUGAAGGACAUUAACUCCAUCCCAGCCAGCCUCAGUGCACCUGCAGGAUAACAUCCUUGGAGUAAGAGAUUUCCCCCUUUGAAGUUCCCCUGCUAUGGUUAUGGCAACCAGUCUCAGCAGUGCUACUGUGUGCUAUCUGCUUCCCUAGCACCUUCUUAGUGUCUAAAAGAAGAGAAAGUAGCACAUUAAACCAUGAAAAAGAAAAUGGAGGAAAAAAACCAGAAGCUGACAAAAGUUGGUAUAUAACUAAAGAGUUAAAUGUAAGAACCUAGACAAAAAGACAAAAAUAUGUACUUCACUGAAAGUAAGAAUGUUAACUUAGAGACAAUGACAUUGCAAAUACUAUUAGUAUGUUGCUACUGGAUGUAAAAAAAUAGAAUUGCCUAAAAGAAUGUACGGAAGCAGAAUUAUUCAAUCAAUAUUUCUAUUGUAUAUUUAGUAAACAGAAGCUGUGCUUUCAUAUUAUAUUACAUUGAAAUACUUUCCUUUCAAUCAAUAAUGUAAAAGGACAAUAAAGAUCAGCAGAAUAUACUAAACAGUUAUUUUUUAAACGGAAGGUCAAGGAGUUUUUAGAAAAAUAAAUGAAAGUGGAGUUAGGCAGCAAUGUUAAUAAUUCAAAUCAGUUCCUAACAAUUUCUGAAACGCUAAGGAAAUUUCAGAGAAAUAGAAGAAAGUUAAUACUGUAACAAUAUUUGAAGGGUAAAUAGGAUGACCUACUUAAUUACAGGCUCAUCGAGCUGACAGCAAGCAUGGGCAAAAUUGUGGGAAAGGCAGGUUCAGGACUCAAUUACAGUAAGGAAUGACAGGGAGAAGAACCGGAAUUGCCAAAUACCAGGCAGUGGGGCAGGCUGUGCAGCCGUGCAGUCCCUGCCUGCACCGCGUGAGUCAGAAUACUUCCCAGAUUUUGGCCUAACCAGUGCCUCUAUUUUUGCACUAACAGCCGCCAAUAAAAUGAGCUGGCAGAAAAUACACUUUGAAAAACUGUUCUGAUGUCACUUCAGAGAUGCCACAUUUUAUUUUAAGUACCUAUGUAGAAAUACACUUGAAAUCUUAUGCUAUCGGAUCCCCAUUGACAUUCCAAUGAAAGAGCUAGAUUGACACAAAAUCAACACUAUACGCAAUGCACAGGUGUACCAAUAGGCUUUCAUUCAUGCUACAUAUUUAUGAGUCUAUUCAAUCUUUUAAUCAGUGAAACAAGAGAGAGAUUACAAAACACCAAAGAUGAGGGAAACUAAAACUAAUGGCAGAGAGACACCUUUUGAUGGUAAAACUCUCGGCUCUUCCAUUUGUUGGGUACCAUCUAAAAUAUUUCAAAACAAAUGUAACUGAGAAUAGGAACAAAUUAUACAUGCUGUUUUUAUGAGACAAGAAAAGGGGAAAAAAAUAGAUAUGGAUUUUAACAAAUAUAAAUGAUGCUCUGGCUAAAAAAGGUAGGGCACUUUUGGAAUGUGAGACACUAAUAUGUAGUUUUUGAUCCUUGCCAAGACCCUUUUACUUUACAAAGAUGAAGUUAAGGAAUGAUUUCAUCAUUGUUGAUAGAUUAAGUCAUAAAAACAAAAUGUGAGUAGUAUGUGAUACAUAGAUAUAAUUUUGCAAUACUGAUGGAACUUGGACAACAAGAUGUAGAAGUGUGUGACCUUUUACAUGUGGUGAAGCAGAACUCCAGUCCUGCCGUCACGUGAUAGAAGACUUAACAAGGGUAAAGCAGAAGCUGUACUGGAAGUUUUGAAGGUGAUAGUCAGAUAACGAACAAAACUUACCAUUAGCUAAAGUACUUCUGUUCAUCCAGACCAAAUUUACUCUUAGUAAGCAGAAUUCUACUUUAAAUAAUCAUACUGAUUUAAAAUAGAUAAGCAACACAUACCUAGCCUAGAUAAAAUCACUGAAGAAGUAGCUAGUGAGGUGAACUUACAUCACUAAUUAAAUACCGUUUGCAUCCACUGGCCAUACAGAUACUUUCAGCAAGGUGUGACUUCUGUAUUAAGCAAAGAAAAUAAUCAUCAGUGUUCAGCUAUGUUAAUAGUUACAUAUACAGAGUUAGAGAAAACCAAAAUAAGGAAAAAGCUCAAUCUGAGUUCAGACUUCCAUGAAUACUGCUUAACCACAAUGUACAAGCCUAUUGUAAUGGUAGAAGAAGGUGUCAGAAAGGUAGGAUUCAAGGAGGAAAAGCUCAGAAAAACAGGAACUUGUAACAGAGAGGAAGUUAUCUAAUACAAUACAAGAAGCCUCAGCACUGAUCUGAGGUGAGGGAACAAAAACACAGCUGGAGCAGAGAACACCAAUGAAGCACUGGCUAUUGUGGCUGGGAGUUCUGACAGAGCUUCUAGCAAACCUGACACUGCAGCAAUAUGACACAGAGGCAGCUAUAUCCCAACCAAGCAGAUAGAUACAGGUGUUUCAGGACCAUAGGAUCAUAGAGUAUCGUGAGUUGGAAGGAACUCUACAAGGAUCAUUGAAUCCAACACCCAGCUCCACACAGAAACACCCAAAAUUCAAACCUUAUGCAUGAGGCCACUGUCCAAAAACUUCUUGACUUCUGGCAGCUUGAGGCCACGACCACUGACCUGGGAGCCUGUUCCAGGGCCCAACUACCCCCUCAGCAAAUAAUCUUUUCCUAAUUCCCACCCUGCCCCUCCCCUGACACAGCUCCAUGCCGUUCCCUCGGGCCCUGUCGCUGUCACGCAGAGCAGAGCACAGCACUGCCCCUCCACACCCUGUGAGGAGCUGCAGCCGCCAUGAGGGCUCCCCUCAGCUCCUCUGCUCUGGGCUUAGCAAACCCAGGGACCUCAGCACUCCUCGUAUGCCUUGCCCUCUAAACCCUUCACCAUCUUUGUAGCCCUCCUUUUGACUUCUCCAGGCAGUGAAUCAAACCCUAGGAAUACUGAGUUCUGUUUGCUAAUGACUUCUGUGAUUGUCGAAAUGGCAUCACUUAGUGAGUCAUAAUAAUUUCACAGAAAAUAAUCAAAUACACCAACAUUAAACAUGAGAUAGCUAAUCAUAGUCUGAAGAUAGUUAAUAAGUGAAUCACAUAUACCCUGCUAUGCCUAGAGAGGGGUUUCUUUGGUGACAGAUCUUCAGCUCUGAAUAAGCAAUGAGAAGGCCAAGCUUUGUGACCCUUCUUUAAAAGUUAUUCUCAUCGUAUAUAGGGAUAUGCCGUAUCUCUUAUGCAAAUAGAUUCUUUUUCAAUAGCCAAAGAGUAUCCUGUGACAAAUGGUUGCUAUUUUGAGCUCACACUAAUGCACUGUGAAAAAAACAUAGUUAUGCCAAAAAAAAAAAAAAACUUACAAUGAGAAAUGUAAUAAUUUAUUUAACAGUUGGAAACCCAUUGAAAAUGAACAGACACUUGAGUGAGUGCCCAAGAGAACAAGAAAGAAUGGACAGCACAGUCAAAAUGUCUUUUGUUUGUUUAGUGAAUAUCCUUUCAUCUAUAAGACCAGCAAUGAGUGCACUCUAGAAUCCUUUGGAGCUAAAGUGAACUACUGGAGACCUUCCAUUUAUGCUGCAACGCAGCCUACACCUGGUUUGAAUGUCUACAGAAGGGUUUUUUCUGCUUCAGUACUAACAGAGCAGGUUUCAGUGCUAGAAGUGAACUAUGCUACUCUCCAGGUUUCAUUGCAGGUCUUUCUCCUGUCCUUCCUCUGCAUUUCUAUCUACUUAGCACAGAAUAAGGAUCUAUGGUGCAAAUUUUUUCUCACAUUUCUCAGAAUGCUUUCUACAAACAAGUGGCAAUAAGAUCCCUAAUUGGCUUCAUGGAGUCCUUUUGGGAUAAAACCUCCUCUUAAUGGACAUUUUCACACUAAUUUUUUUCAUAAUAAUUUAGAGAUAGAAACAGGGUGUCACUUGUGAGUGAGCUGGGAGAAAGACCUGUCUGAAUGAGUUCCUCUCCCACAGUGGGGCCCCAUGGGUUGGAAGCAUCUUUUGUCCCAGGUCCUCCUGUUCUUUCACCUCAGUUUUGAAAUACCUCAGAGUCAUAGCUGUUAUCACGAUGCCAACAUCAAAAAGUAGAUUUAUCUAACAGCUAUUUGAACCUUUUUUUAAUUCCUAAAGAAAACUGCAUAAACUAUAAAACAGCAAAGAGAAGCAUACUAAGAGCUAGCAAAAGGCAAUGUGAGAUUAGAUCUUAUAUGUCCACAGCUAUAUAAGCCGUGAAGAAUCAGGCAGAAACAUGACACGUCAGGAACAAUAGAUAAAGUGGCAGAGAAAAUAUACAGCAAAAGACUGAAAUUUUCAAAUAUUUAUACCCCCCAGCUACAAGGUGAACAGGCUAAGCAGGGUACAGAUACUGCUGGACUCUCUUAAGAGAGGAAGUGACUUAAGAACAUUGUGUCUUCAACACAGAGUGCAAACAAUGCCUUGGCCAGAGUUGUUUUUGCUUCAUUUGAUAUCAGUCUGUACUAACUGUACCUCAUCAUGAGAGGAAACAGCAUCUCUAUAGCAAUGGAAAACAAGAUAAGUACUUGCACAUAAUCAGCAUAGUGCUGGUGUGUCAGUAUUUCAGUGUCUCAGUGCACUCAUCUCACACAAGUAGUAGAAGGAAACAGAAAUAAAUACAGACAGAAUGAUGCCCAGUAUCUCUCUUUUGAGUUCACUGGGAAAAUGAUGGGAUCCACACUACCACUGCACCAGGGUAUCGUCAUAGAUCAUAUGCUACAAAGAGAUCUCUACUAUUUCUCUACUAGUAAAGUCUUGUCUGUACUGAAUUCGUUGAUAGGUUUCUUAUUGAUUUCAGUAGAAUCAUGAUGUCCUCCACAUAACAGUUGAAAAAAUAAAAGUAUUUUCUCAUUUUUGCGCCAUGCUUUUUUACCUAAUCACAGUUACCAUUUUUGAAUGUUCCUAAAGGCAGGAAUAUUUGAGUGAGAAAAUCUCACAGACAAUACCUACUUUCCAGAUUACUCCAAACUACAUAGCUGCUCAUCAGUUCAUGCAAAUUUUGAAUACUGCUCUAUGCUGAGAAAUGACUACUGACCAGACAAGCCACCCCCUUGCAGGAGGUAAUUACCAGUCUUGGCAGAUAAAGCCUAUUCUAAAUCUAGACACCAUUGUGUUGAGUGGCUCUCUGCCAGCACUCACUCGCUUUCCAAAGGGGGUCCUUCUACAGGCACCAGGUAGUGGGCUGUCAGGAUGAGCAUCCAAAAGGGACUGAAACAGUUCCAGGUACAUUUUCUUUCUCAUCAAGAAAUAGUUACCAGAUACAGUGGGGUGGAAGUUAGAGUAGACCUAUGAAAACAUGAAAGGAGAGGCUGCUGAAAGACAUCAAAUGUACCCAGCCUAUUCAGUAAUAAAUGGAUAUUGGAAUAAUUUUUCUGGUUUGAGACACAGAGGAAGGUUUUACAUGAACAUAGACUGAUGUUUGCCUUGUAGUUAUGGGUGAUUUUUUGUUGUUGUUGUUGUUUUGGUUUAUUUUGCUCUUUUCCAUUAAAAAAAAAAAAGGAUGUUUAUUUCCAUAAAAGAUGUUAUGUAUCUACAUUACUUAAGUGAGAAGUAGAGCUUCUUUCUUGUGUCAAGAAGACUUCUCUCCUGUAAAACAAAGACAAAGAUGCUUCACUUAUUGCUUUACUAUCAUCAUAUCUUGGUACAGAAAAUUAGUAUGACUCCAGCCAUUCACUCUCCUGGAGCAGAUCACGCUCUGCCUGUUUUCUGCACAGUUUCCCCCCAGAAUCCAGUCUGAUUUAAGACCUUAUAAUGGUAUGGGAAGAAAGCACCCAAGCACGAACCAUUCCCUGAUAGAUUAAGAUGGAGACUGUGAUUUAUAAAACUGUUCCUAAGGCCUGAUGGAGCUGUCCAGGCCUUUGAAGCUUUUCUUGUUUUGUUUGACCUACAAACCACUUCGAGCAUCAUCUAAUUGUUAAAAAUCUCUUGUGCACUCUAUGCACAAGACAAAUUUCUUUUACCUUGUCAUCAGUAAUCGAUAAAGCAAACAUAGGUUUUAAAUAAUUAAAAUAUUUCUUUCCUAUUGUACAGGGAAGGAAAAAAACAAGAACCAUCAAGAUCAUCAGUGAUACCAUUUAAUGCACUUCUGGAAUGCGUUCAGAUAACACACCACGAAGGCAGAACACAGUGUGGCCAGGAGCGUGACUGGGCCACAAAUAAUUCUGUACAAUGAUCUUGCAGUGAUAUUAACAUUCUAGUUAGUCACUGCUAUUAGGGUAAACAUACUAAAAAAUGAACCACAUGAAGAAUUUCAUAACCUCAAAAUUCCAGAGACCAUGAGACACUUCGGUGUUCAUACUGCCCAUUAUGCUCUGAAUGUACAGAGAGUGUAGAAUAUGGGCUAGAUAGAAAAGGACAAAGAUACCAGCAAACAAUAUUCAGAAUCAACUCUUUAAUAAUUUAACUGUAUACUUCAGAGAGCAAAACGAUGUAAGCAACAUGGGAAUUCCCACCAACUGUGCUUUGUUUAGUUUAUUUCACUAAGCAUUUGUUUUUUUUUGGUGUCAAAGCAUAUAAAAACAUUAAAAGAAUCAGUUGCCUACAACUUUUAGGAUAGCAUCCAUGACAGUGGGCAGGAACCUCCCAGUACCUCAUCUUUCUUAUCGACUAUAUUGUAAUUCGGCUGAAGCAGUUGUGUAUCUGCCACAUUCCAGGUCACCUAUAGACAAGACCUACUGCGUCAACUGAUUGAGCAGCCAGGAAGAAAAGCCCUUUCCAUUAUGAAUGUUAUGACACAAGAGUUAGAUGGUUUAUUUCCUCAUUUAUCAGAAAUAGAAUCAAAUAUAAGAGCAUAAAGAAAUGAAGAGAUGCAUUCACAGUGCUAUAAAAACUUACUGAAAUACAUAAAUCUGGCUGUAGAAGGGGCAUUAUUUCUCUGUUAGCUACCCAUGUGUAUAUGGGAAUGGAGACUACUGGAAACAAGCAGAGUUGAAUAAAUGAUUUUUUCACAUA